rnacentral:lncRNA from 1 species
UUCCUAAAACAGUCACAAAAUGGACAUAAUUAAGAAGGGAAAUGUAUUGAAUGCAAAACAAUGCAACUCACUCAGCUUGUACCAUAAAUCCACACUGCUGUCAGAGUUUAUAGCCACAAACAGUACGAGGGCAUGAGGGCUAUUUUAGUAAUUUAACGUACCACUACAAGGGAUAUAACUGGUGCAACACCUUAUAGUGGCAGAGGAGGAAAAUGUAAUUAAUCUAAACCAUUCAAUAUCGAGAUAAUAACAUGUAAAAUAGGAAGAAUAUAUUAGUUAAAAAAAUAAACUAAUAGUUGUUGCUUAAUUUUUUGAAUCUUCUCUUUUAUGACUUCGAUCUUUGUUUGUAGCGUAACAAUAAUUUCGUCGAUGGCAUAUCUAUAACCACCAUUGUCACUACUGCUAUCAUCGCUUAUUUCAAUAAUUUGGCGUUUGUUCUGCCCUUUGUUUUUUGUUGGUAUAGAUCUGCAAAUAAAUGAAAACACAUAAAAUUUUAAAAAUAACAUGCAAAAUAAGAAGAAUAUAUUAGUUAAAAAAAAUAAACUAAUUACUUUACCUGAUAUCCAUUAUUUAGUAUUUUAUAUGAUAUUGUUUGUGUAUUGGGUUUUUUGUUUAUGUAAUAAUAGUAUUUAUAGGUGUUUUUUAUUUAAUGAGUAUUUUUUUUUUUUGUCAUCAAUUCUUAUCCGUUAUAUGUUACUAAUUUUAAUAUUUAUGGCUAUAGUGAGUGUUGUCUUUUGAAUUGUCUAUUAUCCGUUAUAUGUUACCAAUUUUAAUAUUUAUGACUAUAGUGAGUGUUGUCUUUUGGAUUGUCUAUUGAUUUAACUCUGUAUCUUAAUUGUAAUGCAAUGUUGUAUAACAUGAAUCCGCGUGGCAGUUUUAAAGAUGAAAGAAAAAGAAAAACUAUUGGAUUGGAAGAGGCGUCUGAAUUAAUGAUUUUCUGUUAUGUAUUAAUGGUUAAUAUUAUGUAUUAAUGGCUAAUAUCAAUUGUAUAUGAGAUUUCAAUUGAUUAAAAUUGGGUUGUAUGUGGGAUUUCAAUUGAUUAAAAUUGGGCGUGUUAAUUAAUUAAUUGAUUUGAAAUUAAUUGAGUUUAUUGAAUUUAUGUUGAAAAUCAAAUUGGAAGACAGAUUAAUUACUUGAUUUUUAACAGCCAGAUUAAUUAAUUGAUUAAAAAUUGAUUGAGUUGGAGGAUAGGCUAUGAAAUUAAUUGAGUUUCUGUUGGAAAUCAAAUUGGAAGACAAAUUAAUUGAUUGAUUUUUAACUAUGUUAAAAAUCAAAUUAAUUUCAAUUUAUUAAAAUUGAGUGUGUUUGGAAGUCAAAAUAAUUAAUUAAUUUAAAAUUAAUUGAGUUAGAGAAUAGACUCUGAUGUAUUUAUAUAUAAGGAUUGAUAUGUACAUAAAUUUAUUGAAAGAAAAUUGUCUAUGUAGUAGUUAACAUUUCGGGUGUUACUGGUUACGAGUGCAAGUGGUCAUUCUGUGUCAAAUUUUAGUUUGACUUGACUUUAUUGUCCGCCAAUAUGACUUGGCUUGACUUAACUUUUUAUUUUUAAAGUACAAGAAAUGGUUUUUACACAAGUAGGUGAUAUAAACUUUUACUUUUCUUCAACAAUUUACAAAUAAAUUUAUACAUUGUACUUUCUUCGAAAGAAUUUUCACUGAAAAUAUAAAGUUGAAAAGUGAUUAACAUGAAGUUAACUUUAGUUAAUUGACUAAUACAAUAUAGACACGCAGACCAGAAAGUGACCUCUCUCUGCAUAUUAGCACUGUAUUAAUAUCAUGAAGUUAAUUUCAUGCUAACCGAAUCCAUAAAGUUGUAUCCACUUAAAAGUAAUUUUUAAUGGUCAAAACUCUACUCUUUAAUAAUGUUUCACCUUGACAAUUAUUUUUAAAGAAGUGAUAGUUACACACUUCAAAUAUGUUAACAAUACUAUAUUAUCUUUAAUAUACUUAAAAUAAAUUUUAACCAUUUACAUUUAUUUAUAAGAUAAAAGGUGCACACCAACUUGGCCAAAACUUAAUUAUCAACCAUAUUUAGAAUUGGCAUUAAAAAAAAACCUUAUAUAGAAUUAUGCAAAUAUAAUAUAUUAGAUCUGUUCUUUUUUACAAUUGGACUUAAUUAUCAUUAUAUUUUGUAAUAUAAUUUAAAAACUUUAAUUAUAAAAUAUUAAAAAAAAAAAUUAAUAAGAGUAACCAUCGUUUUCUUAAGACGUAAAAUAUAAUUUAACUUGCUAUUUUAUUAAAGUAUCCAUAAUAUUGUAUAAUGAUACAUAUAAUUCAAAAGAUUUUAUUUUAAAUUGAAAUACAUUUAUAAAAAUUUAAAAUUGAAAGAAACUAGAAAAUUAUUUAGACUUGUUUUAGUAAAAAUUUCAGUUAAAAUAAACAAGUGAUAAAUAUAUUAAUUCCUCAUUAAUUAUAAAGGUAAUAUAGUCCUUUAAAUAUAUAACGGUGUGCAACAAUCAACUUACAGUGUGCAUGUAUCACAACCCUAUUUUUAAAACACAUCAUGGUGAAAAAAUUAAAAGUGCACAAAAUUUCAUAACCGAUAUCAUACAUCUUAUUCAUAACUACAAUAAUCACCAACAUCAUAUAAGGAAUAUAAAUCUCACAUAACAUAAAGGAGAAAUAUUUGAAACAUAAAAAAAAUAUAAUAAUAAAUUUUCGCACGUGUCCUGCUUCUUUAAAAAUUGAACUUCAGACCUAAAUGUUACAUAGUAUUCAAUUCACAAAUAUGAUUCAUGUGAAGCUCGAAAAAAAAUUUAAUUUUAUGUUUUAAAUAGCUUUCUAUAAUCAUAAUUGUAUUUAAGUUAAAUCAAAUUAAUUCAUAUUAAUUUUGAAUUUUAAAAUCAACCUCAAAAUAUCAAAACGUUACAACAUACAUUUCCAUCGCAAGCAGACUGCAAGCCUAUUAACACAAACAAGCAGAAUAAAGGUAAAUAUAGUCCAAAUGUUCAUAUUCAGAUGUCAGACUUACUUGUCUGAAGAGCCAAGACAGAUAAAAGCCUCAAACAAGCUACACAAGGACAGAGAUGAAUGCAGUGGCCACUCCUCAUAUUGUGCGCAAAGUGAACUGCAUACACCAAACUAAGUACAGGGAGUAAAUUGGGCAAUAAGAUAAAUAUUUAUUUGAGUUUGGCCUGCUAUAGGUCUCCAUUGCACCCAAAAUAAAAACCCCUCAACUUCACACCCAUGAAGUUAUAAUAAACCAGAACUAAGUCAAUUACCUAUAAGGCUAUAAGUCUGUAACCUUCAUCAAAACAGUGGGAUUUGACUCAAUGAGAAGUGCUCCACUUCAAUAAAAUGGAGAUCACAUGCUCAAAGCUUCCAAGUUCCAACUCUAAUGGUAUUUACACAUUCUUACGUCUGAACUUACCUGGUUCACGGCAACAGACUUAUCUCUACAGCUUGAUGCCCAUUUGAUAUUUACAUGGCAAAAUAAAAGGACCUUGCUGACCUAUAACUUGGUUUCUUAAAUCAAGUUAUGCAAACAACAGAAAAUGUAGCAAAGUUAUUCUUCAAGAAAACAUUAAAAUUCCAGAGAAGGAUGCAAAUCUACACGAGCUACAGUUUCCAUAAAAAAGUGAACAAGGGGAGGUGUUAAAAAAAAUUCCCCCCCCCC